AAAAUCCUUCGACUUUAGAGAUCGUGAGGGUUAUCCCCA
rnacentral:tRNA from 1 species